CGAGAGUUGAUCCUGGCUCAGGAUGAACGCUAGACUACAGGCUAACACAUAGCAAGUCGAGGGGCAUCAGGACGAUAGCUGCUAUGUGCUGGCGACCGGCGCACGGGUGAGUAACGCGUAUCCAACCUGGCCCUUAGUAGGGGAUAGCCCGGCGAAAGUCGGAUUAAUACCCUAUGUUUCCUUUGAUGGCAUCUGAUUUGGAACAAAGAUUAAUCGCUAAGGAUGGGGAUGCGUCUGAUUAGGUAGUAGGCGGGGUAACGGCCCACCUAGCCAACGAUCAGUAGGGGUUCUGAGAGGAAGGUCCCCCACAUUGGUACUGAGACACGGACCAAACUCCUACGGGAGGCAGCAGUGAGGAAUAUUGGUCAAUGGACGAGAGUCUGAACCAGCCAAGUAGCGUGCAGGAAAAGACUGCCCUAUGGGUUGUAAACUGCUUUUAUGCGGGAAUAAAGUUCGGCACGUGUGCCGUUUUGUAUGUACCGCAUGAAUAAGGACCGGCUAAUUCCGUGCCAGCAGCAGC
rnacentral:rRNA from 1 species